AACUACUUUAUUCUUUCCUAGGUCAGCAACACACUGGUUUGACAUUUAACUAACCACUGUCGUAAGAGGUCUGGACUUCACAGGUGGCACUAGUGGUAAAGAACCCAUCUGCCAAUGCAGGAGACAUAAGAUGCAAGUUCAGUCCCUGGUUAGGAAGAUCCCCUGGAGGAGGGCAUGGCAACCCAUUCCAGUAUUCUUGCCAGGAGAACUUCUUGGACAGAGGAGCUUGCUGGGCUAUAGUCUAUAGGGUCACAAAUAGCCGGAUGUGGCUGAAGCAAUUUAGCACACAACGAUAAGAAAAGACUAGGGUAAUUACUAGAUGAGGCUUCAGGUUCAAGAAACGAAGUUUUAAACUUGGGGAUACGCUUGAGAAUGUAAGAUACAGGGGCAAAGGAUUCACAGAGGAAGAGGAGACUGAAGAAGCUGAUGGAAGAGAGGACAUGGCCCCUCGGAAGGUGAAGAGAGAAGUUAGCCUUGAAGGAAGGGAGUGAGUGGCCUCUUUUCUCUUGAGUGGGGGAAAAGGCCAGAGCUAAAACAGAGCUUCUCAGGUGGCGCUAGUGGUAAAGAAUCCACCUGCCCAUGGCACCUCACUCCAGUAUUCUUGCCUGGAAAAUUCCAUAGACAUAGGAGCCUGUGCGCUACACCCAUGGGGUUGCAAAGAGUUGGACACGGCUGAGCAUCUGAGCACAAAGACAGUGAAACAGAGACACCGAGAGACACAGGGCUGACGCUGAAGUGAUUAUUCCAAACGGCUCUGCACGUCAUUCUUCUCUCUAGUGAUGGAUUGUCAGUCCUUAUCUGGUAGCUCAGCUGGUCAAGAAUUCACCUGCAAUGCAGGAGACUCUGGUUUGAUUCCUGGGUCGGGAAGAUCUGCUGGAGAAGGGAUAGGCUACCCACUCCAAUAUUCUUGGGCUACCCUAGUGGUAGCCUGCAAUGCGGUAAAGAAUCUGGAUGGUUAAGAUGGUAAAGAAUCUGCCUGCAAUGUGGGACACCUGCAUUCGAUCCCUGGGCUGGCAAGAUUCCCCGGAGAAGGAGCGGCUACCCACUCCAGGAUUCUUGCCUGCAGAAUUCCAUGGAUAGAGGAGCCUGGCAGGCUACAGCCCAUGGGGUCACAAAGAGUCGGACAUGACUGAGCAACUUUCACUUCACUUCAUCUGUCAUGCAUGUUGCAAAUAUUUAUCUGUGUAUUGUCUUUUCC
ensembl:lncRNA